rnacentral:rRNA from 1 species
UACGUAGGGUGCAAGCGUUGUCCGGAAUUAUUGGGCGUAAAGAGCUCGUAGGCGGUCUGUCACGUCGGCUGUGAAAUCUUGAGGCUCAACCUCGAGGCUGCUCCCGAAACUGUUCGCCUAGGGACUGGUAGAGGCUGGUAGAAUUCCCGGUGUAGCGGUGGAAUGCGUAGAGAUCGGGAAGAAUACCUGUGGCGAAGGCGGCCAGCUGGGCCAGAUCCGACACUGAGGCGCGAAAGCGUGGGGAGCGAACAGG